AGCGAACGCUGGCGGCAGGCCUAACACAUGCCAGUCGAACGAACCUUUCGGGGUUAGUGGCGGACGGGUGAGUAACACGUGGGAACGUGCCUUUAGGUUCGGAAUAACUCAGGGAAACUUGUGCUAAUACCGAAUGUGCCCUUCGGGGGAAAGAUUAAUCGCCUUUAGAUCGGCCCGCGUCUGGUUAGCUGGUUGGUUGAGGUAAUGGCUCACCAAGGCGACGAUCAGUAGCUGGUCUGAGAGGAUGAUCAGCCACAUUGGGACUGAGACACGGCCCAAACUCCUACGGGAGGGAGCAGUGGGGAAUCUUGCGCAAUGGGCGAAAGCCUGACGCAGCCAUGCCGCGUGAAUGAUGAAGGUCUUAGGAUUGUAAAAUUCUUUCACCGGGGACGAUAAUGACGGUACCCGGAGAAGAAGCCCCGGCUAACUUCGUG
rnacentral:rRNA from 1 species